AUCUAAAUUAUUUACUUAAGUUAACCAUCUUCACAUGAAUUCUGGGUUAAAGGUCAGGAAACGAAAGAAGUAGGGUUGAAUAAGCAGGUGAGCGGCAGAGGUUGUGCUCUUAACAUCAGAUGAAUGUGGCUUCUUGGGUAACCAAGAGUCUGCUUGUGUGUCUUAGUUAUCAUAGCAAUACUUAAGUUAUCAUAAAAAUACUUAGUAUCAUAAUUAAAUAGAGGUAUUUUCUAAUUCUUCUGUUUUUAAUUUCAAAGAUUUAUUUAUUUAUUUGAAAGGCAGAGCUAUAUAGAGAGGGAGAGAAACUAGAAAAAGGAUCUUCCAUCCACAGGUUUAAUCCUUGAAUGGCCACAAUGGCCAGGGCUGAGCCAGGCUGAAUUAAGAAGCCCGAUCUCCAUCUGGGUCUCCCACAUGGCAGCAGGGACCCAAGUUCUUGGCUCUUCUGCUUCCCAACAAGCUCCCUGCUAAUUCUAUUGGGAAAGCAGAAGAAGAAUGCAGAUGGAGUUCCUGGCUCUUGGCUUUGGUUGACCCAGCCCAAGACCUUUGUGGUCAUUUGGAGAGUGAACCAGUGGGUGGAGGAUCUCUCUCUCUCUCUGUUUCUCCCUCUCACUUUAUCACUUGCUCUGCCUUUCAAAUAAAUAAAUAAUGCUUAAAAAAUGGAGAAUCAUUCUGUACAUACUUAGACCUCAAGCCUGUGUGUUAAGAACUUACUAAAUUUCAUAUCUAAAAUUGUCUUCUAGAGAGGAUUUUGUCCAUCUUAUUAUAAUAUCGUAUGAUGAGUGGUUAUAUACAGUUCAUGUUUUGUACGGAGAAAAUUUGACACAUCUCCAAUUAGGUCAUCAGUUGUUUGAAGGCAGAUUGAAAAACCAAGGAUGUGUUGCGCAUGAUGGAGAUCCCAAGAAGGAAAUUACAAGUCUGAAGUCAACAGCAAACCCAGGAAGGAAAGGACAGCAUUUACCAAGAGCAAAUCCAAGGACUAGAAGCAGAAUUUGCCCAUCACAACUAUGUGACUAGACUGAGGAGAUACAAGAUAGCAGAGAAUCUGAAUCUCACCAAAAGACAGGUAAAGCUGGGCAUUGCCAGGGAUUGUUUUCAUUGCUUUGGUUCAAUAACCCUCUUGUACCAUUUUUAAAAUAUCUGGAAUCAUUGUUCUUAAUUAUCAAAAGGAAGAAAGGUGUGCUAUUUAAUGAUUAAGUAUUUUUACCCAGCAAAAUGAAAAAAUUAAAAAUCAGUGAGUGAUUUUAUGGGGGAAAAAUCCUACAUUUAUUGAGUUUAAAGAAGAACUCUUGUUCUGCAAUAACAUUCUUUCUGUAUUUGUUGGUGGUGGGGAGGUGUGUGUGAAAAUAUUUAUUUGACAUAAUGAUGGAAUGUGGUGAGGAAUUUUGUAUCCUUUCAAAAUCUCCUAUUUGGCAUGUUAGAAAGUUGACAACCCCUGAGUAGUUUCCUGUAUUGGUCAGAAUAGGGUAUGUUAUGUUGCACUAACACAUUAGCUUCCGAGCCUCAAUGGCAUGAUACAAAAAUGCUCAUUUGCUCACUCUCCAUACUGAGUCUCCUAAGUCCAGGCUUCCAAAUAAACACUCCCAAAAUGGUGGCUCUCUGGCA
ensembl:lncRNA